rnacentral:rRNA from 1 species
GACGAACGCUGGCGGCGUGCCUAAUACAUGCAAGUCGAGCGCAGGAAAUCGGCGGAACCCUUCGGGGGGAAGUCGACGGAAUGAGCGGCGGACGGGUGAGUAACACGUAAAGAACCUGCCCUCAGGUCUGGGAUAACCACGAGAAAUCGGGGCUAAUACCGGAUGGGUCAUCGGACCGCAUGGUCCGAGGAUGAAAGGCGCUCCGGCGUCGCCUGGGGAUGGCUUUGCGGUGCAUUAGCUAGUUGGUGGGGAAAUGGGCCACCAAGGCGACGAUGCAUAGCCGACCUGAAGGGGGGAUCAGCCACACUGGGACUGAGCAACGGCCCAGACUCCUCCGGGAGGCAGCAGUAGGGAAUCUGCCACAAUGGACGAAAGUCUGAUGGAGCAACGCCGCGUGAACGAUGAAGGCCUUCGGGUCGUAAAGUUCUGUUGUAAGGGAAGAACAAGUGCCGCAGGCAAUGGCGGCACCUUGACGGUACCUUGCGAGAAAGCCACGGCUAACUACGUGCCAGCCGCCGCCGUAAUAC